GUUGGGUUACCGAGCAAUGCAUCAGAAAAUAAGACAAGAACACAAGCUAAAUGUGCCGCAAGAUGUUGUGUACGCAACUAUGACUGAACUAGAUCAAGCUGGUUUGGAAGGUUGAGCUCUUGAAUCAAAGAAAAAAGAAGGGCCAUUUUACGACUAAAGGUGUCGAUUGGGUACAGUCUCUUGAUGGACACUGUAAAUUACUGGGAUACCAGCGAUUCACCUUUACACUUGCUGUAUAUGGUUAUAUGGACACAGCAAGUAGGAGGUUGCUUUGGUUGCAAGUAUGGACAGAUAAUUGUGACCCUAAACUAGUUGCUUGUUGGUAUUUUGACUAUUUGUAUGAUCGAAGGGUUAUAGCAUCAAUAAUAAGGGUAGACAAGGGUAUGGAAACUGGUGAUAUGGCAACUUCACAUGCAUAUUUGAGAAGGAAUCAUGGUGAUGUUAAUCCUGAAGAUACCGUUGUUUAUGGCAAAUCUAC